CGGACUACUGGGGUUUCUAAUCCUGUUUGCUCCCCACGCUUUCGUGCAUGAGCGUCAGUACAGGUCCAGGGGAUUGCCUUCGCCAUCGGUGUUCCUCCGCAUAUCUACGCAUUUCACUGCUACACGCGGAAUUCCAUCCCCCUCUACCGUACUCUAGCUAUACAGUCACAAAUGCAGUUCCCAGGUUGAGCCCGGGGAUUUCACAUCUGUCUUAUAUAACCGCCUGCGCACGCUUUACGCCCAGUAAUUCCGAUUAACGCUUGCACCCUACGUAUUACCGCGGCUGCUGGCAC
rnacentral:misc_RNA from 1 species